rnacentral:rRNA from 1 species
UACGGGGGGGGGUAAGCGUUGUUCGGAAUUACUGGGCGUAAAGGGCUCGUAGGCGGCCAACUAAGUCAGACGUGAAAUCCCUCAGCUUAACUGGGGAACUGCGUCUGAUACUGGAUGGCUUGGAUUCGGGAGAGGAAUGCGGAAUUCCAGGUGUAGCGGUGAAAUGCGUAGAUAUCUGGAGGAACACCGGUGGCGAAGGCGACCUUCUGGACAGAGACUGACACUGAGGCACGAAAGCGUGGGGAGCAAACAGG